rnacentral:tRNA from 1 species
GAGGCGCUAGUUAAAAAUAACACCCCCUUGUCAAGGGGGAACUAUAGGUUGAACCCCUAUGCCCCUCU